UACGAAGGGGGCUAGCGUUGUUCGGAAUUACUGGGCGUAAAGCGCACGUAGGCGGACAUUUAAGUCAGGGGUGAAAUCCCAGAGCUCAACUCUGGAACUGCCUUUGAUACUGGGUGUCUUGAGUAUGGAAGAGGUGAGUGGAAUUCCGAGUGUAGCGGUGAAAUGCGUAGAUAUCUGGAGGAACACCGGUGGCGAAGGCGGCGUCCUGGACCAACACUGACACUGAGGAGCGAAAGCCAGGGGAGCAAACGGG
rnacentral:rRNA from 1 species